GGGGGCGACUGGCUUCGACGGGUGGUCGAAGGUGGGCGCUGCGUGCCGAGGUCGUCAGCCACCUCGUAAAACUGCUGGCACGGUUGGUAGCCUCAUAACUGCCGACGACAACUACGCACUCGCUGCCUAGCUAAACCCUAGGUAGCGACAUCCGUCCGCGACGCCUCCUGGCGGGUUGCGGGUGUCAUCAGGAGGCUGGCUCCCCUGCGCUGACAGGCCGGAACGGGAGCGAGAAAUGCGUCUGUCUAGGUGAGACACUUCUCCCGUCUUUGCGACAAGGUCCCACCGAAAUCGAGCGAAGACUACGCACGUAGACGCGCCGGCUGGAAGCCGCGCGGACGCGGGUUCGAUUCCCGCCGCCUCCACCA
rnacentral:tmRNA from 1 species